rnacentral:rRNA from 1 species
CCUACGGGAGGCAGCAGUGAGGAAUAUUGGUCAAUGGCCGGAAGGCUGAACCAGCCAUGCCGCGUGAAGGUCAGUGCCCUAUGGGCGUUAAACUUCUGUUGUGCGGGAGCAAUAAUGGUCACGUGUGGCCAGACGAGAGUACCGUACGAAUAAGCAUCGGCUAACUCCGUGCCAGCAGCCGCGGUAAUACGGGGGAUGCAAGCGUUAUCCGGAUUUAUUGGGGUUAAAGGGUGCGUAGGCUGUGAGGUAAGUCAGCGGUGAAAUGCCCCCGCUCAACGGGGUGAAGUGCCAUUGAUACUGCCUUGCUGGAAUGCGGAUGCCGUGGGAGGAAUGUGUGGUGUAGCGGUGAAAUGCAUAGAUAUCACACAGAACACCGAUUGCGAAGGCAUCUCACGAAUCCGCGAUUGACGCUGAUGCACGAAAGCGUGGGUAUCAAACAGGAUUAGAGACCCUUGUAGUC